CUUGUCGUUUUCAUUUCUGUUGCAGAUGCAACUAUAAUGUUUAUUUAUUAUUCUUAUUGAUUUACCACAAUUAUUUCUUCAAUGAGUACAUCAAUAUCUUAGGUCAUAUGCUGCAAAAGAUGUGAGAAGCCUACUACAUGUAUGGUAACCAGUUCAUGGUAACUAGUUCUUCAAUAGGGGUGUUUAACGACCUUGACUACCCUUGAGGGUCUCACAUGGCCUGAUAUUCUACAUUACCAUGGGUACUGGUACAUUUAAAAAUAUGUUAUUUUUAUCAAAAUGAAUUACAAAAUGUUGAUCAAAACAAUACAUGUACAUUAAUAUUUAUUUUCUAGCAAAAAUAUAUUUGUUUUAAUUUUAUUUAAAACCUUAAAAUCAAUUUAUAGAUAUAUAUAAUCACCAC
rnacentral:lncRNA from 1 species